rnacentral:pre_miRNA from 1 species
CUGGCCUCUCACUAUGUUGCCCAGGCUGGUCUCGAACACCUGGCCUCAGCUCCGUCAGGAGUACGAGACCAGCCUGGGCAACAUAGUGAGACCCAAU